rnacentral:tRNA from 1 species
UGGCUCAGAGGUUAAAGCGUCUGCCUCCAAUGCAGGAGACCCUGGUUCAAUCCCUGG